rnacentral:rRNA from 1 species
CUACGGAGGGUGCAAGCGUUACUCGGAAUCACUGGGCGUAAAGCGCGCGCGGGCGGCUAUUUAAGUUGGAUGUGAAAGCCUACGGCUCAACCGUAGAACUGCAUCCAAAACUAUUUAGCUAGAGUGUGGGAGAGGAAGAUGGAAUUAGUUGUGUAGGGGUAAAAUCCGUAGAGAUAACUAGGAAUACCAAAAGCGAAGGCAAUCUUCUGGAACAUUACUGACGCUGAGGCGCGAAAGCGUGGGGAGCAAACAGGAUUAGAAACCCCAGUAGUCC